rnacentral:rRNA from 1 species
UUGACAUGUCUGGAAUGCCGAAGAGAUUUGGCAGUGCUCGCAAGAGAACCGGAACACAGGUGCUGCAUGGCUGUCGUCAGCUCGUGUCGUGAGAUGUUGGGUUAAGUCCCGCAACGAGCGCAACCCUUGUCAUUAGUUGCUACGAAAGGGCACUCUAAUGAGACUGCCGGUGACAAACCGGAGGAAGGUGGGGAUGACGUCAAGUCCUCAUGGCCCUUAUGGGUAGGGCUUCACACGUCAUACAAUGGUCGGGACAGAGGGCUGCCAACCCGCAAGGGGGAGCCAAUCCCAGAAACCCGAUCGUAGUCCGGAUCGCAGUCUGCAACUCGACUGCGUGAAGUCGGAAUCGCUAGUAAUCGCGGAUCAGCAUGUCGCGGUGAAUACGUUCCCGGGUCUUGUACACACCGCCCGUCACACCAUGGGAGUGGGUUUUACCAGAAGUAGUUAGCCUAACCGCAAGGGGGGCGAUUACCACGGUAGGAUUCAUGACUGGGGUGAAGUCGUAACAAGGUAAGCGUAGAUGA